rnacentral:misc_RNA from 1 species
GUAGGUGAACCUGCGGAAGGAUCAUUAUCACGUAUCCACGUAUAAACCAAUUCGUGAACUGUCAACACUCAACCUCUGAGCUAUCGGUCGCUAUCAUGAAACUAUGGACGCAUUGUAUGAUUAGGCGUUCUCAUGAUAAUCAAGACUGUCUCUUCGGAGUGUAUUAAUCAUACUUUUAACAUUAACCACUUGAACCUUUUAUAAAUUUCUUUGUUUGAACUGAUUUGUUUCUUACUCGGCCGUCAAACGC